UGGAGUAUAGCCAAGCGGUAAGGCAUCGGAUUUUGGUACCGGCAUGUAAAGGUACGAAUCCUUUUACUCCAA